AGAGGGUGUCGGAUGCCCUGAUGCCCUUGAGCUGGAGCUACACGUGGUUGUGAGCUGCCUGGUGUGUGUGAGGAGAAUCACACUCGCGACCUCUGCAAAAGCAGUCUGCAUUCAGCCCCAGAGCUGUCCCUCUGGCCCCCGGAGGAUGUGGAGGAUGAGAAGAGCUCUUCUCUAUCCAAGAGGAGACAAGGAAUCAGAAUGGGAUUGAGGGCCAUGCUGCGCCAGAGACUCAAGGUGGGGGUAUUUGUGAAACCUCUGCACCCGAGGCAUGGAGGAGGAAGCUUCCUGUGUGGUGACCCAGGGACAGGGCAGGAAGCACUUUGAGCCCAGCCAGGAGAGGAACCUGAGUUCAUCCUGUCUGUAUCUCUGGUCUGUUGCUAUGGCACCUGGAACGAGCAGCAUGGGAAAUACAUCAGGAACCAUGAGAGGGUAUCGUGCAAGCACAGCCCCCACCACACAGGUCAUGCAGUUGCAUUUCUGUGUUUGAGAAAACGACAGGGAUCAGCUAUCUGGAGUUCAGUGGACGAACCUCACCGAGGGAAAACCACUUUUGUGCUCCUGGUAUCACUGCCUUGCCAGGUGACACUGCUCUCAAGCAGGCCAGACAGGCACAGCCAGACCCGGGGCGGUAAGCUCUUACCGUCUCUUUCUUCUCCUGGCCUCCCCUUCGAGAUCACACCAGCCCACACCGUCCCUGCUUUCUGAUCGAGGUUCAGACAAUAUCCUUCCAUGUGACUCCUUGCUUUGCCCCUUGGGCUUAAAUCUAAAGCCUCCUUCCCAGCCUCUCUGAGCACUGGGCGGAAUACCUUCAGGAUUGACUUUCCUCCACAUCGCUCACCACCACCGCUGACAGAUUAUUCCACCCGCUUGUUUUGUCCAUUUGUUUGAGGUUGUCCGCUAAAAUAUAUGCCCCAUGAGAAAAUGACCUUUCGUCUUUCUUAUUUAUGGCUGCUCUGGCUGGGACCUUGAGUGCCUAGAACGUGGUUGCUCAAUGAGUUUUGGGUGAAUGAACAUACCCUGCAUUCUGAGAAAUCACUCAGGAGUCUGUUGGUUGGGAGCAGCCAUGGCCAAGGUGGUUCUCAGACUCUUUGAAGUCUCCUAUGUACACACCAACAUGGACCUUCGAGAAGGCCUGCACUUUGUGAAAAGGAACCCUCUAGAACAGUGGUGGCAAAGACUCCUGAGGAACUCUAGCAUGCAUUCGGAGCAUUCAGCUUAGCCCACUGAAACAAUACAUAGCACAUCGGAGAGAAAAAAGCGCCAUGAUGAUUCAAGAUGAUGUUUUACAGAGUCUGGGUUCUAUCUAUGGAUUUUGUUCUGGAAGCCUCUGGGGACCCCAGGAAGACAAAACCAGAUGAAAGUGAAUCUGCUCUGUCUGUCUGUGUUCUUCCCAGAGUCAACCGUCUUUCUCUCUGUUCCCGAAGGGAGGAAAUAUGUCUGUGAUUGGCAUUUCCUUCAGGAUCUGGAACUUGUCCUAUCACCACUAGGGUCAAAGCCUUCUGCUGUCUGUUACCCCCAGACCUGAGGGAAUUCCGUGUGGCCUUGCUGAGUGAGUCACAGCUCCACUUGGCAUGACUUGGACCUUAUUUAACCCAGGACGCCGAAGGAUUUCUCCGUGAAUUAUUAAGGAAUGUGCCAAGAGAGCAGAGACAGUCAUUCUGAGAUCUGAGCUGGUUUCUGCAGAAUCAACUGGAAGCAGCAAACGGGGGUAACAAGUAGGGUCUGUGUGUGAAGCUGGGGAGCCCACAGUCGAGAACAAGGCUUUACUUCUGUUUUCACUGAACAGGUCAAUAGAGGACUGGGGAAACCACUCAGUGACAGAGCACUUGCCUGGCAUGGUUCCUGAUUCAAUUCUCAAUAACCUUUCGUCACCUCCCCCCCCAAAAAAGCCAACAGAAAAAUCACCACUUGUGAUUAAAGACAAUUAGGGUUGAUUUAGUUUCUGAGUUUGUUGGGUCUGUUAGGGUGUCCAGGCAGUUUAAUGCUAGUUAUAAGUACUCUGUUUACUCUGGAGGCUUACCACUGUAUCAACCACACACAGGAUACUCUGCUAGAGAGCCAAUCCUUUCCUGGAUAUAGGCAUGAUUUUGGAUCUUGCGAUUUCAUAAAUCCACAAACAAUCACCAUUACCUUAACCAAAGCUUUGGAAGGUGUGUUUGGUCUUCAAGGGUUCACAUGAAAACAAAACAAAACAAAACAAAACAAAACAAAACAAAAAACUUCCACCAAUCACCAGGAAUGCAGAUUUAAAAAAUCACAUGUAAUAUUCAUUUUAACAUCAGUGUCUCUAAGUGACAGCAGUGUGACUUGUUGCAAGGAAAGCCAGAUUAAAGAGAGCAGGGACGUCUGUUCAGUGAAGGUAAUUGGUUCUCUGAUUCCCCUAAGGACUGUGAAAUGGGGUGAGAGGGUGGCACCCUCUCAUCUUUCCUCUGACCCAGCACCCUUCAGAAUGGUCCCUUGCCUUGUUCACUCAGGUCAUCCCCCAACUUCCAAGCCCAGUAUCCAAUUCCCAGCAUGAGCAACGUUUGCAGGGCUGAUGGUGCCCAUCCACAUGAACAUCUUCUUCGGGCAGCCUGACGCACAGGUGCCAGCUCUCCUCUGAUCCUUUCUUUACCUCCUUGCUGUUUAGCCCACUCUCCUUGUGGUCUCCCACUCCCUCUUCAAGAGCUGCUCUCUGGAAGGCUGGACCAACCGGCCCCUUAGCUAAGACCCCAUCCCUUUUUAAGCAAUGACUGCCAAGAUAAGUGUAAGCAGGGUCAGGUUUCGGAAAUGAACUACCUUCCAAGAACUUUUUCUCUUCCUAUCUCAGCGUGGACUGUCGUCUGCACCCAGACAACUUUGCUUGACAUGUCUACUUUGGUGCUGGAAACAUAUUCCUACUUAACAUGUCCCCAAACCUGCUCUGAUUUCUAUACUCAUCCUGGUAGUUUCUGGAUCUUGAUUCACAGUUAUUCCCCUUUGUUGGUUAUCCCAAACUGCAAAGCUUAGGAUUGCCCUUUAUUCUGUCACAUCUGGAGCAUCAGCAUAUCUCACUGAGACUAUGUUGCUAGAGUCGGAAUGCUGCCCGCCCCUUCCCUGCUCAACUCCUCCUCUAGGCCACAGCUGACCGUACAACUGGUCAUUCAGUUUUAGCCUAAGUCCCUCUGCAUUACUGUCUCAGAGCAGCACUUGGGAUGACACUUUUUAGGUUGAACUGUCUGUGGCUUUCUACAUCACUCAAAAUAAAAGCCAGGACUUGUAUGCUCCAAAGACGCUGUGUGGCCCAUGUGGCUUUAGUCAACUCUUUCUUUUGCCUUCCUACAUCUACUAUGCAUGGUUAUAAAUAAAAAUGGGUAGCAAUACAACCCCCCAACAAGUCUUCCCAUCACCCCACUUCCUAUUGCUUGUGUCUCUCUUGAGUUCCAGCUAUUGGUUGUUACCGAUGAUGUGAUGUUGUUUGCGUUUAUUUGCUUGUUAUCUGUCUGUCCUUUUAUACCAGCAAAUCUCAACCUGUGGGUCGCAACCCCUUUGGGGGCCAAACGACUCUUUCACAGGGCCACCUAAGACCACUGAAAAACACAGAUACUUACAUUAUGAUUCAUAACAGCAGCAAAAUUGCAGUUAUGAAACAGCAAUGAAAAUAAUGUUAUGGUUGGGUCACCACAACAUGAGGAACUGUAUUAAAGGGUCCAGCAUUAGGAAGGUUGGGAACCACUGCUCUACAAUGAAAUACACACUUCAAGAGCCAAAGAACGCUAUCAGCUGCUGUCCCUACUAUGUUUCUGUUACCUAGAGCACCUGGCCAGAUCAGUGCGACUGAAUAAGUGAUUGCCUCACUAGGCAGCGGUUAAUGUUAGAUAGGCUGUAUAUGAAGAAAAUUGUGACUUCAGAGGGCCAGAUGCGUCUUAUAUGAGGACUAGCUCAAGGGUUGGGGAGGUCGCUUAAUAGAAACACAUGCUUGCCAUCCAACUGCAAGAGAGUCCACAUAAAGCCAGGGACUGUAGUGUCCACCUCUAAUUCCAGAACUCCAACAGGGGAGGGUCAGAGACAGGUGAAUCCUUGGGAGCUCAGAGCCUUGUAGCUUGGUGAACAUAGCGGUGAAGAUGAGACCUUACCUCAGUCAAGGGAGCAGACAAGGACUGUCACACACAGCUGUCCUCUCCAUCUCUCCAUCCAGGUACCAUGGUUACCAUAUGCUCAUAAUCACACAGUGGUCCCUCUCCAACCGCUCUAUACACACACACGCACACGCAUAUGCACGCACACACAUGUGUAUGCAUGCACACAUGCUCGUGUGUGUAUGUGUGUGUGUAUGAGAGAAAGAGAGGGAAUUUCUCCCCUCCCUCCCUCCC